GAGGCGUAGCUCAGUUGGUUAGAGUGCUUGCUUGACAUGCAAGAGGUCACUGGUUCGAUUCCAGUCGUCUCC
rnacentral:tRNA from 1 species